AUACGAAGGGGGCUAGCGUUGUUCGGAAUUACUGGGCGUAAAGGGCGCGUAGGCGGUCUGUCAAGUUAGGUGUGAAAGCCCUGGGCUCAACCCAGGAACUGCAUUUAAGACUGGCAGGCUAGAGAUCUAGAGGGGAUAGUGGAAUUCCAAGUGUAGAGGUGAAAUUCGUAGAUAUUUAGAGGAACACCAGUGGCGAAGGCGACUAUCUGGCUAGAAUCUGACGCUGAGGCGCGAUAGCGUGGGGAGCAAACAGGAUUAGAUACCCUGGUAGUCCACGCCGGAAACGAUGAGUGCUUGAUGUUGGAUGCUAACGCAUUCAGUGUCGGAGUUAACGCGUUAAGCACUCCGCCUGGGGAGUACGGUCGCAAGAUUAAA
rnacentral:rRNA from 1 species